GCGCCUGUAGCUCAAUUGGAUAGAGCGUCGGUCUACGGAACCGAAGGUCAGGGGUUCGAGUCCUCUCAGGCGCG
rnacentral:tRNA from 1 species